CCCUUAGACGUUCUGGGCCGCACGCGCGCUACACUGACCAGUGCAACAAGCAUCCGUCCUUGGCCGACAGGCCCGGGCAAUCUUUGAACGCUGGUCGUGAUGGGGAUAGACUUUUGCAAUUUUUGGUCUUCAACGAGGAAUUCCUAGUAAACGCAAGUCAUCAACUUGCAUUGAUUACGUCCCUGCACUUUGUACACACCGCCCGUCGCACCUACCGAUUGAAUGGUCCGGUGAAGCCUCCGGAUUGGCGCGCACCUCGGUGCCGCCGAGAAGUUGGCUAAACCUUACCAUUUAGAGGAAGGUGAAGUCGUAACA
rnacentral:rRNA from 1 species